rnacentral:rRNA from 1 species
GGGCUACACACGUGCUACAAUGGCCGGUACAGACGGAGGCGAAGCCGCGAGGCGGAGCAAAUCCGAAAAAAGCCGGUCUCAGUUCGGAUUGCAGGCUGCAAUUCGCCUGCAUGAAGUCGGAAUCGCUAGUAAUCGCAGGUCAGCAUACUGCGGUGAAUACGUUCCCCGGGGCCCUU